rnacentral:sRNA from 1 species
UAAGUCAUAGAAAAAAUUAUAGAAAAUAUCUUAGAUAAAACAAAAUUUUAUUGAAAUUGGUAAAAAAAAGCAUCCCUAGAGCAAAAAUUUGGAUUAAAGCCUACUUGGUAGCAGAGAAUUGAGUGGUAUACGAUAACAAAAAUUAAAUACGACAAAAUAUCAUAAGGUCAAGCUUAACAUAUCGUUCAACAUUGAUGUUUAAACAGUUUAUGGAAAUUUUAAAUAAAAAACCAUCAGCAGCUUCAAAUUGCAUAUAUAAUUCUAAUUAUGGAAUAAAUUAAUAAACAAAAUAUUUAAAAAAAAAAGCUUAAACAGAAAUGAAACAAAAUCGAUAAAUCAUUCAAACUACUGAGAAGCCAUAUGUUAUCAGUGAUUAUCCUCCAAGGACAAAAUCAAUAUAACAAAUUUCAAACUUCCACAUAGGCAAAAUUUAUUUUGCCCUACCAACUCUAGGUCAGCCUUCAAGUCCAGCCUACCGUCAACCCCACAACAAAGUGAUUUUUUCCCUCCAACUCAUGCAGCUAUUCAUCUUUAUGGGCCGUAGACGUUACUUUUCCACUCUGCUGGGCGAGUAAUUGAAUAAAAAAAUCAAAUAUCAAAGGUUUUUUAUUGUUGGUAAGCAUGCUGAAUAAGUGACUGAGUGACUGAAUUUUUACUUGUAAGUAAACUAUAUUUUUAAAUAAAUAUAAG